UACGUAGGGUGCAAGCGUUGUCCGGAAUUAUUGGGCGUAAAGAGCUCGUAGGCGGUCUGUCGCGUCUGCUGUGAAAACUCGGGGCUUAACCCCGGGCCUGCAGUGGGUACGGGCAGACUCGAGUCCGGUAGGGGAGUGUGGAAUUCCCGGUGUAGCGGUGAAAUGCGCAGAUAUCGGGAGGAACACCCGUAGCGAAGGCGGCACUCUGGGCCGGUACUGACGCUGAGGAGCGAAAGCGUGGGGAGCAAACAGGG
rnacentral:rRNA from 1 species